AUACUUACCUGGCAGGGAGAGAUACCAUGAUCAUGAAGGUGGUUUUCCCAGGGCGAGGCUUAUCCAUUGCACUCUGGAUGUGCUGACCCCUGCGAUUUUCCCAAAUGUGGGAAACUCGACUGCAUAAUUUGUGGUAGUGGGAGACUGCGUUCGCGCUCUGCUCUGC
ensembl:snRNA U1 U1 spliceosomal RNA